UAUUCCCAAAAGAAACCAGAUUUUGGAGCACUCACAGCCUGUGUCACUAAAAACCAAAGCCUAACAGUUGAUUGUUACUACCCACCUUGUGACAACACACCCUUUUACUGCAACCUUUAUGAUGAUCAUGCCAAGAUUUACCAUAACCAGACCAAGACUUAUGUAUGCGCUCUGUCACGGAGAACAAGUGAAGAAGAGAAGACACUCAUUGUGAAAUACACUGGGAAAAAGCGACCAAAGGACUGCCCUGGAAGUGGAC